rnacentral:tRNA from 1 species
AAGGCUCUAGCUUAAUUAAAGCAUCUGGGUUGCAUUCAGAAGAUGCAGGGUAGUAUCCUGCGAGUCUUA